rnacentral:rRNA from 1 species
AUUUUCCGGUUGAUCCUGCCGGACCCGACUGCUAUCAGAAUGAGAUUAAGCCAUGCGAGUCAACGUAGCAAUACGUGGCGCACGGCUCAGUAACACGUAGUCAACAUAACCAGAGGACGUGGAUAAACUCGGGGAACUGAGGCUAAACCGCGAUAGACCAAGAUACCUGGAAUGGUUUUUGAUCAAAAUCUAUAUGGCCUUUGGAUUGGACUGCGACCGAUCAGGCUGUUGGUGAGGUAAUGGCCCACCAAACCUGUAACCGGUACGGGCUCUGAGAGGAGGAGCCCGGAGAUGGGUACUGAGAAAAGGACCCAGGCCCUAUGGGGCGCAGCAGGCGCGAAACCUUUGCAAUAGGCGAAAGCCUGACAGGGUUAUUCUGAGUGACUUUCGCUAAGAAAGUCUUUUGACAUCUCUAAAAAUGGUGUAGAAUAAGGGGUGGGCAAGCCUGGUGUCAGCCGCCGCGGUAAUACCAGCACCCCGAGUGGUCGGGACGGUUAUUGGGCCUAAAGCAUCCGUAGCCGGUUUUACAAGUCCUCCGUUAAAUCCAACUGCUUAACAGAUGGGCCGCGGAGGAUACUAUAAGACUAGGAGGCAGGAGAGGCAAGCGGUACUCAGUGGGUAGAGGUAAAAUCCGUUGAUCCAUUGAAGACCACCAGUGGCGAAGGCGGCUCGCCAGAAUGCGCUCGACGGUGAGGGAUGAAAGCUGGGGGAGCAAACCGGAUUAGAUACCCGGGUAGUCCCAGCUGUAAACGAUGCAGACUCGGUGAUGGACUAGCUUAAUGCUAGUCCAGUGCCGCAGGGAAGCCGUUAAGUCUGCCGCCUGGGUAGUACGGUCGCAAGACUGAAACUUAAAGGAAUUGGCGGGAAU